GAAAUGCGAUAAGUAAUGUGAAUUGCAGAAUUCAGUGAAUCAUCGAAUCUUUGAACGAACCUUGCGCUCCUUGGUAUUCCUUGGAGCAUGCCUGUUUGAGUAUCAUGAAAUCUUCAAAGUAAAUCUUUUGUUAACUCAAUUGGUUUCUACUUUGGUAUUGGAGGUCUUUGCAGCUUCACACCUGCUCCUCUUUGUUCAUUAGCUGGAUCUCAGUGUUAUGCUUGGUUCCACUCGGCGUGAUAAGUUAUCUAUCGCUGAGGACACUGUAAAAGGUGGCCAAGGUAAAUGCAGAUGAACCGCUUCUAAUAGUCCAUUGACUUGGACAAUACUUUUAUGAUCUGAUCUCAAAUCAGGUAGGACUACCCGCUGAACUUAAGC
rnacentral:misc_RNA from 1 species